rnacentral:rRNA from 1 species
UACGGAGGAUGCGAGCGUUAUCCGGAUUUAUUGGGUUUAAAGGGUGCGUAGGCGGGCUAAUAAGUCAGCUGUGAAAGUUUGCGGCUCAACCGUAAAAUUGCAGUUGAUACUGUUAGUCUUGAGUACAGUAGAGGUGGGCGGAAUUCGUGGUGUAGCGGUGAAAUGCUUAGAUAUCACGAAGAACUCCAAUUGCGAAGGCAGCUUGCUGGACUGUAACUGACGCUGAUGCACGAAAGUGUGGGUAUCAAACAGG